UACGAGUGCCUCGAGCGUUAUCCGGAAUUAUUGGGCGUAAAGGGUUUGUAGGUGGUCCUGUUAGUCUUUCGUGAAAUCCCCCGGCUCAACCGGGGGCCCGCGAGGGAAACGGCAGGACUUGAGGGUGUAAGAGGUCUCUGGAACUCAUGGUGUAGCGGUGAAAUGCGUUGAUAUCAUGGGGAACACCAAAAGCGAAGGCAGGAGACUGGGACAUACCUGACACUGAAAAACGAAAGCGUGGGUAGCGAAUGGG
rnacentral:rRNA from 1 species